AGAGUUUGAUCCUGGCUCAGGAUGAACGCUAGCUACAGGCUUAACACAUGCAAGUCGAGGGGAAACGACAUCGAAAGCUUGCUUUUGAUGGGCGUCGACCGGCGCACGGGUGAGUAACGCGUAUCCAACCUGCCCACCACUUGGGGAUAACCUUGCGAAAGUAAGACUAAUACCCAAUGACGUCUCUAGAAGACAUCUGAAGGAGAUUAAAGAUUUAUCGGUGAUGGAUGGGGAUGCGUCUGAUUAGCUUGUUGGCGGGGUAACGGCCACCAAGGCGACGAUCAGUAGGGGUUCUGGAGAGGAAGGUCCCCCANACUUGGAACUGAGACACGGUCCAAACUCCUAACGGGAGGGA
rnacentral:rRNA from 1 species